UUGAAAGUUACUUUACUAUUUUCUUUAUAAUUCAUUAAAAUCUUUUACAAAGACCUUUGUCUGAUCUGAUUGUAAACAGAAAGUCAAAGGAUAUGAAAUCUAAGGAAAGCAGCAAGCCAUUGGAAGGUUUUUAGCCAGAGAAAUAUCUGUAUCUAAAAUAUAUAUUUUUCUGGCUAAAAACUAUAUACAUAUAUAUAUAUAUAUAAAACCAUAUAUAUUUAUAUAUUACCUAUCAUAUGUAUAUAUAAUGUGUGUGUAUCUAUAUACUCAUACCUAAGUAAAACAUAUAUAGUAGUAUUAUAUGGAUAUGGAUAUGAACAGUCUCUGCGUAGUGAGCUUCAUCCUGCCCACCUAACCCGUGCCAGGCUGAAGGGGGCAGAGCACUCUGAAACUGCUCCUGCCCUGGCUGCUCUGCUCGCUGCUGCUGCUGCCCCUUGGCCGUGACUUUCAGUGAUAUUGCUUAGCUACCCCCAGCAGUGAGGGCCUCAAAUCCUUUUCAUUAACAAGAAAUUCUGAAGUGUUAAGCUCAGAGUGCAGAUGCAAGACCAUCAGCCUCCAAGUUGAACCUAGUGGCACCAUCAGGAUUGUCAGAGCCAAAAUCUAAAACAAGGUGGGCAUCCCACCUGAUCAGCAGUGUCUGGUUUUUGCAGGCAGACAGGAGGAGAAUGGCUGCCUUCUCUCCAACAAUAUUCAGAGUGUCCACCUGCCCUUGGCAUGUGGCUGCGGGUCUAGACAAUGAUCUAAUCUUUCCUCUACCA
rnacentral:lncRNA from 1 species